rnacentral:rRNA from 1 species
CAGUCGAACGGUGAUAGCAAUAUCAUAGUGGCGCACGGGUGCGUAACACGUAUGCAACCUACCUUAUACUGAGGGAUAGCCUUUCGAAAGGGAGAUUAAUACCUCAUAACACAUUGAACUGGCAUCAGUUUAUUGUUAAAGAUUUAUUGGUAUAAGAUGGGCAUGCGUCCAAUUAGUUAGUUGGCGAGGUAACGGCUCACCAAGACGAUGAUUGGUAGGGGAACUGAGGGGUUAAUCCCCCACACUGGCACUGAGAUACGGGCCAGACUCCUACGGGAGGCAGCAGUAGGGAAUAUUGGGCAAUGGAGGCAACUCUGACCCAGCCAUGCCGCGUGCAGGAAGAAGGCGUUAUGCGUUGUAAACUGCUUUUAUAUAGGAAGAAAUAGACCUUGCGAGGUAAGUUGACGGUACUAUAUGAAUAAGCACCGGCUAACUCCGUGCCAGCAGCCGCGGUAAUACGGAGGGUGCAAGCGUUGUCCGGAUUUAUUGGGUUUAAAGGGUGCGUAGGCGGUUUAUUAAGUCAGUGGUGAAAGACGGUCGCUCAACGAUUGCAGUGCCAUUGAUACUGGUAGACUUGAGUGGGAUUGAGGUAGCUGGAAUGGAUAGUGUAGCGGUGAAAUGCAUAGAUAUUAUCCAGAACACCAAUUGCGUAGGCAAGUUACUAAGUCUCAACUGACGCUGA